rnacentral:sRNA from 1 species
UUGGAAAUGGAGACUGAAGGGGUCUAUUUAUUCACAGAACAGAUACAGCAUGGACAGCGGCAACAGAAGAUUCCCCCACUCUCUCCUUUCAAUAUACCUCAUCCUGAUGUGUGUAGGCAUCACUUCAAGAGAUUAGAGGAUAAACUUAGUUUCUGUGCCCAUCCGAUCACUGGCAUUU